CGCUGGCGGCGCGCCUAACACAUGCAAGUCGAACGAGUGGAUGGUCUUCGGACCUGAAGCUAGUGGCGGACGGGUGAGUAACACGUGAGGAACCUGCCUUUCAGAGUGGGAUACCGUUUGGAAACGAACGUUAAUACCGCAUAAUGUAUAUUGAUCGCAUGGUCGAUAUACCAAAGAUUUAUCGCUCUGAGAUGACCUCGCGUCUGAUUAGCUAGUUGGUAGGGUAACGGCCUACCAAGGCGACGAUCAGUAGCCGGACUGAGAGGUUGAACGGCCACAUUGGAACUGAGAUACGGUCCAGACUCCUACGGGAGGCAGCAGUGGGGAAUAUUGGGCAAUGGGCGAAAGCCUGACCCAGCGACGCCGCGUGAGGGAAGAAGGUCUUCGGAUUGUAAACCUUUGUUGACAGGGAAGAAGAAAGUGACGGUACCUGUAAAGAAAGCCACGGCUAACUACGUG
rnacentral:rRNA from 1 species